rnacentral:rRNA from 1 species
GGCUCAGAACGACCGCCGGCGGCGUGCCUAACACAUGCAAGUCGAACGGAGGCAGGGAGCUUGCUCCUUGCUUUAGUGGCGCACGGGUGAGUAAUGCGUAGAUAAUCUACCUGAGGGUCCGGGAUAACAUCUCGAAAGGGGUGCUAAUACCGGAUAAGCCCACGGAGUCUUCGGACUUUGCGGGAAAAGGGGGGGACCUUCGGGCCUUCUGUCCUCAGAUGAGUCUACGUACCAUUAGCUAGUUGGUGGGGUAAAGGCCUACCAAGGCGACGAUGGUUAGCUGGUCUGAGAGGAUGAUCAGCCACACUGGAACUGAGACACGGUCCAGACUCCUACGGGAGGCAGCAGUCGGGAAUUUUGCGCAAUGGGGGAAACCCUGACGCAGCAACGCCGCGUGAGUGAUGAAGGCCUUCGGGUCGUAAAGCUCUGUCAGAGGGAAAGAAAUGUACGAGGGUUAAUACCCCUUGUACUUGACGGUACCCUCAAAGGAAGCACCGGCUAACUCCGUGCCAGCAGCCGCGGUAAUACGGAGGGUGCGAGCGUUGUUCGGAUUUAUUGGGCGUAAAGCGCGUGUAGGCGGCUUCUUAAGUCUGAUGUGAAAGCCCUGGGCUCAACCCGGGAAGUGCAUUGGAAACUGGGAAACUUGAAUACGGGAGAGGGUAGUGGAAUUCCUGGUGUAGGAGUGAAAUCCGUAGAUAUCAGGAGGAACACCGGUGGCGAAGGCGGCUACCUGGACCGAUAUUGACGCUGAGACGCGAAAGCGUGGGGAGCAAACAGGAUUAGAUACCCUGGUAGUCCACGCCGUAAACGAUGAGUACUAGGUGUUGCGGGUAUUGACCCCUGCAGUGCCGCAGCUAACGCAUUAAGUACUCCGCCUGGGAAGUA